GCUCUUUUGUUAUCUGAUCUGUUUUAUAUUAUUAUGAAGCAGAAUUUAUUCCAAAACGUCUACGUGAGAAGUAAAACUAUCUUGCUGUUACCUCAGAGUCGUCCACUUCUGCUCCAUACUUAAAUAUGUUCUUGAAAAUAUACACAUGUAUUAACGUUAAACUAACAACACAACUUUAUGAUACACGGGGUGAACUCAGCUUGGCAAUUGUCAACUUCCUAUAUUUAUGUAGCAAUAUUCUAUUUUCACCUGGAUAUGGUGUUUAUGUGACUCAGCUGAUUCAAUAUGCAAGAGUUUGUUCUGAAUAUAAUCAGUUAUUGCAUCGAGGCAGGUUACUAACAAACAAGUUGAUGGUGCAGGGGUUUCAACAGUCUCGAUUAAAGGCAGCAUUUCGAAAAUUCUAUGUUGGUUAUAGCGAUCUAUCUUGCCUAUACAACCUGUCAUUGGUUGACGAGUUUCAUACUAAUUGUUAAACCGUUUUCUGCACAUUGAUUCUGACUAUGGAUAACUCCGUCUACCUGAUCAAAAUAUAGGGCUCUUGACGGGUUUGACCGGUCGACAGGGUAUAUUUACUUCUCCUGUGGACUUGAUCCUACCUCUGGUAUAUCCAGGGGUCCGUGUUUGCUCAACUCUUUAUUUUGUAUUGCUCAUAGGAAUCAUGAGAGUGGUCACUGUUCGUUAUCUUCACCUUUCUUCAGGCACCCUGGAGGAAUAAGUAUUCCCUGUUAACAGGUCACACCCAUUUCAAGACCUUUAUCUUUAUCAGGUGAUGUAGCUUAAAACGAUUUCAAUACUGCGGAUAGCUCCGUUUACCUGAUCAGGAUAUAGGGCUCAUGGCGGGUGUGACCGGUCAACAGGGGAUGCUUACUCCUCUUAGGCACCUGAUGCCACUUCUGGUGUGUCCAGAGGUCCGUGUUUGCCCAACUAUCUAUUUGUAUUGCUUGUAGGAGUUAUGAGAUUGAUCACUGUUCGUUAUCUUCACCUUGCACUCAUGCACUCUGAUCAUUAUCAAUGUCAAGAGCUCUUUGUUCUAUUUCAAAUCAUUGCAUAAUGUCAUUUUCGUCAUACAACUCUGAGGUAUUUUGGUAACAAAUCAUUCUGGUUAUAAAACAUAUCAUUUUUAGAAUAUAUUUAUAUGUCAUCUUCAGUUAUUUAUCAAUUGUAUUCACUGUUGUAUUAUCUAACAUUCAUUUGAAACAACAACCAGCACGUCCACACUGUGUCGGAAUUUCAGUUUUACCGGAUCAGAUAUCUUAAAGCAAAACAACAAGGCCUUGGAAUGUUACAGAUAAUUGACAGGGGAUACAAUUAUGAUUAUAAGAACAGAUUAUGGACCAAUGAGGCUGUUUGAGUUGUAUCCCAUAAGUAAAUAUGAUUGGAUAUGUAUAAUUCAUUAAUGCUUUGCCAGCAAUUGAUUAUCCAUUCUAUAUUAUCAUAUUGAUAUUUAUCAAUCUAAGUAUUGUGAAAUGUAAAAUACAUUUUAACUUGACCAAAAAGCAUAGAAAAACAGGUUGAGUCACACAAAUAUAAAUAAAACUAUAUAUGUCGAUAGUUUAUUUCAAAUAAUGGUAGGGAAACUUAUCUCAGCAAAAUCAUUUUGAUUAUGAGAGAUAUGAUUCUGACUCCAGUUACCACUAUUUCAAGACCAUGUAUCAAUGGAAAUAUUCUUCGAUUGAAAACAAGCAUCAAAUUAUUGCCUGUCUUACUGUACUUUUAGUUUGUCCCGCAAACCACUACGGACCAAACUGCGCUAAAUGCAAAGCGGAGUGUAUACCCUGUAAUCCUAUCACUGGUGUAUGUUUCAACUCCACGUGUGAUCAGAAAACAGGUAGAUGUGGGAAUUGGAAAACAGAAAUGGUUACACACAGCACCGCCUCUUACGAAGACACACCUAUUACUAAAGAAACAGACGUCAUUCAAGAAUUCUCACCAGGAACUUGUGAUCGUUCUUGUAUCGCCUGCAUUCCAGCGGUUGAAGUCUGCCUAUUCUGUACCAUGUAUCAGCUGUCUUACAGAUGUCAGUAUAAAUGCCAAGAUAUUUGCUCUGGAGACACUUGUAAUGACAAGGAGGAAACCUGCACAAGGAACAUUGUGGAGAAGAAUGGCUUUCUCGAUUGCAGUUUAUCGAUGAAUGACUGUACCAUUAGUUGAUUAGAUACAACAAACAUGAACACGUUUUCAAAACAUAUCAAGGUUUGGGUAACGGGAUGAUAUAGGAAUAGAAAUAUUUUCUGGAGUUUUAUAAUACAUUGUACUUUAUUUCCUUGUAGGAUAUUUUUUCGAACUUUUAAGAUUCACUUAUACUUAUAACACUCCUUUAGUGUGCAAUGAUUUGAAUACGUAAGGAAUCCCGGUACUUUCCGUAGUUUAUUCCUGACAUUGAACAAUUCCUGGUGGUUCCUAGAAGUAAACCAUGGAUAUGAGGUAUUUAGCUAUUCUUCACAUGAAAAACAUGCUUUGAUUAAAGUAGUGAAACAAACAGAUAUUGUGAUACUCGAACAUAUGCAUGUAUGGUUAUAUACUAGUAUAUUAUUAUUUCUUUUUACGACGACUGCAAUGGAAAAUCACUGAGCCAUCCAAUACUUGUGUACGAUUGGUUCAAGUUUCAAAUUGUUUCAAUUGCUUACGAAGAUGUCCCGGUCCAAAAAGCGUCGGGAGGCUAUAACAAUCCCGAAAGAUUUCAACAAAGAAAGAAAUUACACAGCUGUACAUGUUAGCUUAUUCUAGAGAAAAAAAUUGCAUUCACAGAAACAGAAUUAACUCGCUCAUCUGGUAGACUGACGUCACAAGGAUCGUCAUGUUGACCAAUCCGUUCGAACGAGAUAGGGUAACUGAGUUUUAUAACUUGAUAUGGGAUGAAGUGUCUCAAGUACUCGCCAAAACAAGGGAGUGGACAUCGGUUCUCAGACAAUCAGAAUGGAUGUGUAUGAGGACUACGUGCUGAUACAUGGUUGUCCAAUGACACGUGUCUCUAUCUUUCUCAGCACUGAAUCUACAACAUACAGCGAAUUUUAUCAUAAAUAACACUCUAAAGAACUUCAUCAUCAUUCGUUACUAUUGCAACCGUGUAGGAAAUCAAUAUGCAAAACUUUACGAUCGAACUAAAUAAGGCAUCUGCAGCAAGACCACAUGUUGCUCGUGUAGUCAAGGGCUUUUUUGUUCAACAGAAUGUUGAUGUCUGCACUUGGUCAGCUGUUUCCCCGAUUUAUCGCCGAUCGAGCACGUCUGAGAUGAAAUGGAACGACGUCUACGCCGUUUACCAAAUCAGCCAGUGACAUUGGCUGAUUUAGGCCAGGCUUUAACCAAUAUUUGGGACAACAUUCCUCAAGCAUUUCUGAACACGUUAGUGGCAUAAAUGGGGCGCUGUUGUUAAGCAUGCGUGAAGGCAAAUGGUGGUCACACGCGUUAUCAACUUUGUUCAUUCACGUUCUUUCGAGUGUGUUGAAAUUGGCGUUAUUCGACAUUAACAUUAAUGAAUUAUGAGAUGUUGUAACGAAUACAUUUGUUAACAGUAUUACAAAAAAUAAAAUUGGUUCAUUG